UUCCGGUUGAUCCUGCCGGAGGACAUUGCUAUUGGGAUUCGAUUUAGCCAUGCUAGUCGAACGAGUUUAUACUCGUGGCAGAUAGCUCAGUAACACGUGGUCAAGCUACCCUUCAGUCGGCAAUACCCUCGGGAAACUGAGGUUAAUGGCCGAUGUGGGACGCCUGCUGGAAUGCGGCGUUCUCUAAAGAUCACGCUGAAGGAUGCGGCUGCGACCGAUUAGGUUGACGGUGGGGUAACGGCCCACCGUGCCAGUAAUCGGUACGGGUGAUGAGAGUCAGAGCCCGGAGACGGAAUCUGAGACAAGAUUCCGGGCCCUACGGGGCGCAGCAGGCGCGAAACCUUUACACUGCACGAAAGUGCGAUAGGGGAAUCCCAAGUGCGAGGGCAUAUUAGCCCUCGCUUUUCUCGACUCUAAGGUGGUCGAGGAACAAGAGCUGGGCAAGACCGGUGCCAGCCGCCGCGGUAAUACCGGCAGCUCAAGUGAUGUCCAAUAUUAUUGGGCCUAAAGCGUCCGUAGCUGGCCGCGCAAGUCCGUCGGGAAAUCCACCUGCUCAACAGGUGGGCGUCCGGCGGAAACUGCGUGGCUUGGAACCGGAAGGCUCAGAGGGUACGUCCGGGGUAGGAGUGAAAUCCCGUAAUCCCGGACGGACCACCGAUGGCGAAAGCACUCUGAGAAGACGGCUUCGACAGUGAGGGACGAAAGCUAGGGUCUCAAACCGGAUUAGAUACCCGGGUAGUC
rnacentral:rRNA from 1 species